rnacentral:rRNA from 1 species
GUUUGAUCCUGGCUCAGGACGAACGCUGGCGGCGUGCCUAAUACAUGCAAGUCGAGCGAAUCUGAGGGAGCUUGCUCCCAACGAUUAGCGGCGGACGGGUGAGUAACACGUGGGUAACCUGCCUGUAAGAUUGGGAUAACUCCGGGAAACCGGAGCUAAUACCGGAUAAUAUUUUGAACCGCAUGGUUCAAAAUUGAAAGAUGGCGUCUAGCUAUCACUUACAGAUGGACCCGCGGCGCAUUAGCUAGUUGGUGAGGUAACGGCUCACCAAGGCAACGAUGCGUAGCCGACCUGAGAGGGUGAUCGGCCACACUGGGACUGAGACACGGCCCAGACUCCUACGGGAGGCAGCAGUAGGGAAUCUUCCGCAAUGGACGAAAGUCUGACGGAGCAACGCCGCGUGAACGAUGAAGGCCUUCGGGUCGUAAAGUUCUGUUGUUAGGGAAGAACAAGUACCAGAGUAACUGCUGGUACCUUGACGGUACCUAACCAGAAAGCCACGGCUAACUACGUGCCAGCAGCCGCGGUAAUACGUAGGUGGCAAGCGUUGUCCGGAAUUAUUGGGCGUAAAGCGCGCGCAGGCGGUUUCUUAAGUCUGAUGUGAAAGCCCACGGCUCAACCGUGGAGGGUCAUUGGAAACUGGGGAACUUGAGUGCAGAAGAGGAGAGUGGAAUUCCACGUGUAGCGGUGAAAUGCGUAGAGAUGUGGAGGAACACCAGUGGCGAAGGCGACUCUCUGGUCUGUAACUGACGCUGANGCGCGAAAGCGUGGGGAGCGAACAGGAUUAGAUACCCUGGUAGUCCACGCCGUAAACGAUG